GCAAACUUGGUCAUUUAGAGGAAGUAAAAGUCGUAACAAGGUUUCCGUAGGUGAACCUGCGGAAGGAUCAUUCAUAAUAGAGUGUUUUAUGGCACUCUAAAAAAAAAUCCAUAUCCACCUUGUGUGCAAUGUUAAUAACUCUAUGUAGGCGGGUAACCGUUUACUCUGUGGAGUUUUUUCAUAUCAACUCUUUUUAAAUUGAAUUGUCUGAAAAACGUUAUGAAUUUUACUUAAUUCAAAACACAACUUUCAACAACGGAUCUCUUGGCUCUCGCAUCGAUGAAGAACGCAGC
rnacentral:misc_RNA from 1 species